GAUUCUCAGACCUAACGACUUAAUCUGGAUCUGACAGAAACCUAACUCAAAGUGGCUUAAGCAAACAGAGAGUCUUUUGGUUCAUGUAGCUGAAAAGCCCAGGAGUAGUGCUGGCUUCAGGCUUGGCUGGGUCCAGAGCCUCAACCACCACCAUCAGAUGUUUCUAACUCUUGGCUCCACUUUCUCUGGUGCUGGCUUUGUUCUCAGACGGGCUCUCCCUAGAAAGCCUCAAAGAUGGCCACUGAUGGUUCCAGGCUUAUGUCCUACUAACUUGGUAACCCCAGGAAAAUGCAGUAUUUCUCUCCUGGUAACUCUGCCAAGAAUUCUAGAUUUUCCUCUCAUUGUGGCUGCCGCAGGACCAAUCACCGUGCUUGAGCCAUGGAAGGCUCUGAUCAGCCAAGCAGCUUGGGUCCGCUCACUGGGACCACGAGCAGGGCCUGAAAGGAAGAGCGGGCUUUGUCACCACAGAGGAGGAGUGAUGCUCAACAGGCAACAGAGGUGGCCUCCACCCUGCCCUAGUGUUCUAGAACAGUCCGUUUACCAGACGUGCGACACUCUUUUUCAGAGAUCCACCAGAAGGGGCCGCGUCCCACCUGUGGCCCUGGGUGUGUGCAGGAUGGAUGGCCCUGGGGGCCUCGAUGUCGUUAAGCCCUCAGCCCAGCUACUAACGCCCACAUCACUUCACACUGAUGGUCUGACAUAUCAGUUGCCUCUGCUCUCCGUUACUCACUUCUGUUUGCCAUCUGCCACCCUUGCAACUACAUACCUUCUGUGCCUCGGUUUCCUUGGGAAGAGUUCCUAUGGCCGCCAAAGCCCAGGCCUGAGUGGAUUCUGGUGCUGGCAACGAAAAGCCCUGACUGAAGUGCAGAGGGAGGGGAGACGCUGUGGUGACGAGGUGGAGCUGGGCCAGAUCACGGAGGACUGGGAGCCAUCUGUGAUGACCGGAUGAGAUGCUGUAUGUGCAGUGUAUGCACAGUGCUGGCCACAGGAAGUGCUCAGAGAACAUGAACGACCUUUACAGUUAUGAUCUUGUUCUGUCACUUGGCUGUGACUGCCCUGCUUCAUUUGAUGGAGGCCCAAUAAAUAUUGUC